rnacentral:lncRNA from 1 species
AGAUUUCACUAAAACAUUAAAAAUCCCAAACCUUCGAGAGUCGAUCCAGCACAAAUGCUACAGUAUCACUGUUAACAGUGAUGUGUACUUAAUUAACAAUGUUCCUCAAUGAUGUUUACUUCCAGAUCUGUAAAUUUUUAUUGGUUUUAGGAAUACUGUAACCUUGUGACUGCAGGUUUAACCCGCUUCGAUUUUACCGCAGAAGAAAGCUCCACCGGCUUAGAGACGAAACGAAGUGGAUGGAAAGCUUCUCCCUGCACUCCACAGUUAUUGAAGGCAAUGUGAAGAAGAUGUCUUCUCAUCCUGAAUGGAGAAACCUGAGAAAUCAGCAGGACCCUUCAGUCUUCACUUCACCGCUGAUGUCAUCCGUGACCUUCUGAACCUUUGACCAAUCACAAGUAAGUUUGUUCCUGUUUGUACAGUGGGGAAAAGCAAGUACAGCACCCAGAGAUGCAGAAGAGUUCAUGGAAAGAGCAGAACCAGUGUCAUCAGAAGUACAGGAGUGAGAGAGAUCUGGAUCAACACACACACAUACACACACACACUGGUGGGAUCUCUUAUGUUCGUUAGGAGUGUGUUGACUAAGGCAUGUGUAAAACUCCAUCACUAAGAGUAGAAUGACUGCAGUCUGUAGAGAGUCGAGCAGAAUUCAGAAUGGAAGUGGAACUGAGCUGCAAACAGGAUGCAAAAUUGACAUAUAUAUAUAUAUAUAUAUAUAUACAUAAAAACAAAUUAAGUACAGUUUUAAAGUAAAUAAUACAUUUCAUUUUUCUAUAUGAAUUACCCAUACACAUUUUAUAUAAUAGAAAAUGUAUACAACAAAAGUUUAUUUUGGAUGUAUUAAUAGAAUGUGAAAGUUGUAUGGUGUGAGCUACAGCUUUGUGUAAUAAUAUUAAACUUGAUGCAUUGAUUUUUAAACAGCUUUGAUUCAUUUCAUGGGUCAUAAAAGUGAAUAUUAAGUUAGCUUUUUUUCCAAUUGUAUUUUUCCAUUUGAAGUACCCAUAAACAUUUUAUAUCAUAAAAAGCUGUCAGAAACAGUAGGUUUUUUUUUUUUUAUACUUCAUUGUAUUUAGUUAUAAAUAUAUAUUUAGUUAAAUAAAACUAAAGUAUUGAUAGUAUUUUUUAUUUAAUUUUUUAUUUAUAAUAAUAUUGUAUAUAAAUA